GCAUUGGUGGUUCGAUGGUAGAAUUCUCACCUUCCGUGUGGAAGACCCAGGUUUGAUUCCCAGCCAAUGUA
rnacentral:tRNA from 1 species